rnacentral:rRNA from 1 species
CUUGGUCAUUUAGAGGAAGUAAAAGUCGUAACAAGGUUUCCGUAGGUGAACCUGCGGAAGGAUCAUUACCGAGUGAGGGCCCUCUGGGUCCAACCUCCCACCCGUGUUUAUUUUACCUUGUUGCUUCGGCGGGCCCGCCUUAACUGGCCGCCGGGGGGCUUACGCCCCCGGGCCCGCGCCCGCCGAAGACACCCUCGAACUCUGUCUGAAGAUUGUAGUCUGAGUGAAAAUAUAAAUUAUUUAAAACUUUCAACAACGGAUCUCUUGUUUCUUGCUUCGAUGAAGAACGCAGCGAAAUGCGAUACGUAAUGUGAAUUGCAAAUUCAGUGAAUCAUCGAGUCUUUGAACGCACAUUGCGCCCCCUGGUAUUCCGGGGGGCAUGCCUGUCCGAGCGUCAUUUCUGCCCUCAAGCACGGCUUGUGUGUUGGGCCCCGUCCUCCGAUCCCGGGGGACGGGCCCGAAAGGCAGCGGCGGCACCGCGUCCGGUCCUCGAGCGUAUGGGGCUUUGUCACCCGCUCUGUAGGCCCGGCCGGCGCUUGCCGAUCAACCCAAAUUUUUAUCCAGGUUGACCUCGGAUCAGGUAGGGAUACCCGCUGAACUUAAGCAUAUCAAUAAGCGGAGGAAAUCAC